GUGCUCACUUAAGCAGCAUGCACAGUAAAACUGGAACAAUACAGAGACAAUUAGCAAUGCCUGCACAAGGGUGACAUGAGAAUCAUCAUGUCUUCCAUAGUUUC
rnacentral:snRNA from 1 species